rnacentral:lncRNA from 1 species
CCAGUGUCUAACGGUUCAUUUAAAAUAUGGAUAUUUUUGUACAAAGAUAAUUUGCCUUUAGAGUGUACAGUCAUACAGCGUGGGCUUCUGAGCUACUAACUAAUGGGUAUCUGUUAUUGUCAUUUGUAUUUCUGAUCUCUAGAGUGGUAUGGAUAAAGAAGGUCAAAAUGGUCUCUGAUGAAAAGAAACUUUUAAAAUGCUUGGAAAAGUUAAUGAAUUAGAUUUCCCUGCACUUGAAGAUAUUAGGAUUGGGAGAUCAAGACUCCCAUCAGCCAAAUCAAGAAUAUUCACAGUUGACAGGAAAACUCAAAGUUUCUUUUUCCCCACCAGAGAAAUGUCUCCCACCACCAUAGCUAAACAGUGAAAUCCGAAGUGGGUAGAGCGUGCCUUUUUUUUUCCUUUGAGGCAAGUUUUCGAAUCGUGCUCUGGAGGUGAAAAAGAAAUGAUUUCAGAAUAGUGAACAUUUGCAAAUAAAAAUGUGUCUACUAUGCAAUGAAGAAUUUUAAAUUUGCAGUGAAAGUCUGACAUCUGGUGGUCAGAAAGAGGAGCAUCAGAAGAGGAGGCUAUUGUAAAAUUUCUGUUGGCUUUCAUAAAAUAAAAACCAAAUUAAAACGUACAAGAAAUUCUUCC